rnacentral:lncRNA from 1 species
AAUCUAAAUGUAUUUAAUUAUAAUUUUUUUAAAGUGGGAUUUUGUAAGAAUAAUAUAGGGGUGCCAAUAGCUCCACUCUAUAUUGAGUUGGGUUGAGCCCAUUUAUUAAUUUUGAAAGCAAAUUUAUUAGCCCAGAAAAUCGAAACCUUACAAGAUUUAGGCACCUGUCACGCGUGGGCUUCAAGCACGGAGAGACCUGAGGCAUUAACAAAGAGUAAGCCUUUGGACACCGCAAAAAAUUGAAAAUCACCUAAAUAUGAAAAAAAACAAAUUAAUUCAUUUACUAUUUUGAAUGCAAAUUCAAUUGAACACUUAAACACAUUAUUUUACACU